AGUGAGAGACAGCAUGUCACAAGGCUAUGACUGCUAAUUCUUCAACCCAUGAUGGCUUCGGCAUCACAGAUGGGAAGGCUGCUGGCAGGAGGAGGGAAAAAAAAGCCAAGGAUGUCUGCUGGUGUGUCGUUAGCCCUCGGCUGGUUCUGGGCAGGUGAUGCAAAUUUGGUUGGUUGUCGCCAAACACAGCUGUCUGCUGCAAAGGAUACGAUAACAACCGUGAGCAUCUGAAUUCUGGCGGGGAUACAUGGAGCAGAGGUCUGGUCUCCUCCCCGAGGAAAGCUGGAGCAUCACGCCUCAUUUCCUGCAUUCAGGACAACAGCCUACAAAACAACAAGGCCAGUCUUACAAGUCUGAAUAAUAGGUAAGUUUGAGCAUCAAACACCUCAUUUCCUGCAUUCUGGUGAAUUUUAUGCACUGAUUUGCACCUUUCUGCAUCAAUUUAUGGUGAAAAUGUCUUUAUUUAUGUCACGGAAAAUGCUAAAUUCAUGCACCUGGAGACAAUUCAAAACAUACCGGAACAUCUAUGGAUCUAAUUAUGUUUUCCACGGCAGACUGGGUGCUCAUAUGAGCUCAUAAUUUAUGUUUGACAGUCAAAAUAUGAUCCAUUUAUGGGGGGAAAAAAAUACUUUUUUGCAGCAUCAUAGCAGUUUUUUUUUUUUUUUUUUUUUUUUUUUUAAGUUUUCUACUUCUCUCAGAUAUUUAGGACGACAUGUUGCUUCCAUCCUGUCCGAAAUCUACACCUUUGGCCCUAAGAGUGAGUCAGAGACCUGGUUUUUUGUUUAUUUUUCUUAAUAACUUUGCUGAUUUUAUCCACUGACACCAUGAAAAUGCAGAUUUUGCAGAGAUUUGAGUGAUAUUUAAGUGAAAAUGUGUACAGCUUUCUCAUUUUCCAGGACAACAGUCUGCAAAACCACAACAAGGUCAGCCUCAUAAGUUUAUAAUAGGAAUGUUUGAGCAUCAAACACCUCAUUACCUGCAUUCAGGUGAAUUUUAUGCACUGAUUUGCACCUUUUCUAGCCAACGUGUUCCCUUUCUGCAUCAAUUUAUGGCAGAAAUGUCUUUGUUUAUGUCAAGGAAAACACCAAAUUCAUGCACCUGGAGACAAUUCAAAACAUAACAGAACAUCUAUGGAUCUAAUUAUGUUUUCCAUGGCAGACUGGGUGCUCAUAUGAGCUCAUAAUUUAUGUUUGACAGUCAAAAUAUGACCCAUUUAUGGGGGAAAAAGACAUUUUUGCAGCAUCAUAGCAGUUUUUGAAAAAGUUUCCUGCUUCUUUCAGAUAUUUAGGAUGACAUAUCCCUUAUUAAAUCUACCUCUGUGGUCCUAAAAGUGAAUGAAAUCCAUGUUUUUGGAGGCCAGAAGUCAAAAACAAUGAGGUAAGAGAGUCAGACAUUUUUUUUUGUUGUUUUUUUUAAUAUACAUAGUUAUUUAAUUCUUUGGCACUAUAAAAAGAUUUCUGCAGAGAUUUUGAGUGACCCUUCAUCUUAAACGCCUUUCUUAUUUUUCGGGACAACAACCUGAAAACCACAACAAGGUCAGAGUAUAAUCUGUCAUCGUGCAGCUGACAUCUAAUUGGGAAUUAACUGCAUAAAGGAGCCGACUGUGAUUCAUGAGCGUGAGGAACUCGUCUUGUAAACUGUGUAAUUGGGCCUUUUUAUGUGAGCGGCAGGUAAAUGUGAAUGACUUGAAGGUUCCACUUCUUUUUUUUUUUUUUUAUUAUUAUUAAUUUAGUCACAGGCAGGUUUGGCUCUUGAAGUCUGUGAAGUGUGGGAUUGUGGGUGGAAGCUGUUGUGGGGGCUGUGAUCUCACAAAGGCAGCUUUUCCGCCAACCAAUCCCCUCGCCGGCUGUUUGGAUGAAAGCCCGGCCCCUUCUGAUUGCCCUCCGCCUCCUUCUUCCCUCUCUCUCUCUUUGGCAUGUGCACAUACACAAUCACACACAUACAUAUACACACACACACAUAUACACACACACAUAUACACACACUCUCUUCAUGCUCUGUCAUAGCAGGAAUUUUCCACUAAGCAGCAGGAGAACAUUGUACCCAGCUGAGGGACGGUUAGCGGACGGCCUUGUCACAAUUUUCAUAAAAUAAGGAACUUUUUUUUGCAUGUAUGUGUUGUUUACCAGGACAGGAAUCCACCAGUGAGGCCCAGGGGAGAUGAGACGUCCAACUAAUGACUGGCUUCCUUCUAAAGCCUCUUGUGGAUCCUCUCUUUUUCUUCUUCUUCUUUUCCGUCUAAUCCUCGCAGCCUUAUCAGCGCCCGCCUGCUGCGCAAAUCAUGCCUGUACAUGCCACACAUGUAUACAUUAGAGGUCUGUUACGUAAGCGUGAGCCCACCCCCUUCCCUUCCCUUCCCUUCCCUUCCCUUCCCUUCCCUUCCCCCCUCCAUACGUUUCCCAGCUUCCUCUGGAAUCAGGUCAGGUGAGGACUUCAGGCUGCCCUCAAACAGCCCCGUGACUGAACACACAUACAUACUGUUGGAAAAGAAAGCAAAACAAUUUAAAAAAAAAAAAAAAAAAAAAAAAAAAAAAAAAAGCAUUUGAGGAACAUUUCUUCUAAACACUGGCUGAAUUCUUGGCAAAUGGACACAGAGAGAAAACAAAUGUAUCCUUUAUGAAUCCUAAAAGGCCCAGAUCAGGGGCAUCCAGCUCAUUUUAGUUCAGGUUCCACAUUCAGCCCAGUCUGAUCUCCAGUGAUCCAGACCAGUAAAACCACAGCAUAAUAACUGAUAAAUAACCACAAUGCCAAAUGUUUCCUUUGUUUUAGUGCAAAAAAGUUCACAUUUCAGGGAUUAUCUUUUUCCAAAACAUCAUUAACAACCUGAAAUUUCUUUAGAAAAAUAAAUUAAGUUUCAACAACAUUCAGCCUCAGUUUAUCAUUUCCACAUUACAACUUCCAGAUCAGUGUUUACAAAGGAACACAACAUUUAGUCACAUCUGGAACUGACCCAUAUAGUGUUUUACUUUAUGAUCAAAAUGACAAAUCAGACAAGACCAAAAACAACACAAAGUAUUACAAAAAUGAGACAACAAAUGACAAAAACGAGACAUAAAAUGAGACGAACGACUCAAAACAAAAUAAGAGAUUAAAAAAAAUUAGAAAAGUUACAUAGCGACCAAAAAAAUGGGCAAACGACAAGCAAAACAAAAAAUUACAUAAAUGACACAAACAAGACCAAAAAUGUCAAAAGCAAGAAACAAAACAACAAAAAAGUAGACAACACAAGCAAGACAAAAAACAACGAAUAAAGCAAAACACAAGAUGACAAAAACAAGAUUAAAAAAAACACAAGCGUAGCAAAAAAGGAAACGCAAAAUGAGACAAAUGACAAAAGUCAGACAAGACAAAAUAUUACAGAAACAAGACGCAAAACGAGAUGGACACAAAACAAAAGAAGCAAAAAAAUGACAAAAGCAAGAAACAAAAGUAGACACAAGCGAGACAAAAAACAACGAAUAAAGCAAAAGACAAAAUGACAAAAAAUAAGAUAAAAAAACAAAAAGGAAAUGCAAAAUGAAAAAAACGACAAACAUGAGACAAAUGACAAGUCAGACAAAAAAGGACAAAAACGAGAUGCAAAAUGGCAAGAGACAAACGACACAAAAUAAAAAGAGGCAAAAAAUGACAAAAGUGAGAAACAAAAAAAAUAAAACAAGCGAGACAAGAAAAGCACAAAAUCACCUUAGCGAUUCACAAAACGACGAAUAAAACACAAAAUGACAAAAGUCAGACAAAAAAACAAGACAAAAUCUUUACACUUUGAGGGCCGGAUUGGACCCUCUGGAGGGCCGCUUUUGGCCCACGGGCCGCAUGUUUGAUAUCCCUGGCCCAGAUGGUGCGUUCGCUUUCACCAAUCCUGAUUUUUUAUUUAUAUUUUUUUUGUAGUCGAACAACAGCCGGCUAAUAAUGAAGACUCAUUCCUUCGAGGCGAGACGCUGCAGGAGAAAUCCUCUUUCUUUAAAAUACGUUGGGCAGUUUUGAGAUCUGAAGCGGACAACAGCCUGCAAAACAACAACAAGAUAUUUAAGACGACAUAUUGCUUGCAUCCCUUCUAAAAUCUACCUCUAUGGUUGAAAAAGUGAAUGAAAUCCAUAUUUUUGGAGGCCAUAAGUCAAACACAAUGAGGACAACAGCCUGAAAAACCACAAGGUCAGUCUCAUAAGUAUAUAAUAGGAACAUCUGAGCAUCAAACACUUCAUUUUCCUGAAUUCAGGUGAAUUUUUAUGCACUGAUUUGUUCCUUUUCUGGCCAAUUUAUGCCUUUUCUUCACCAUUUUGUGGUGAAAAUGUAUUCAUUUACGUCCAGCAAAACACUAAAUUCAUGCACCUGGAGACAAUUCAGAAACAUACCAACAUAUAUGGACCUAAUUAUGUUUUCCACAACUUGCUUGUAUGAGCUCAUAAUUCAUAUUUUGAGACUAAAAACGUCCCAGUUCUGGAGACAAAGGACAUUUUUGCAGCAUCAUGGUAGCUUUUCCAAAAGGUUUUCUGCUUCUUUCAGAUAUUUAGGAUGUCAUGUUGCUUUUUAACUUCUGAAAUCUACCUCUGUGGCCCUAAAAGUGAAUUAAAUACAUGUUUUUUAGAGGCCAUAAGCAAAAAACUGCACUGAUUUGUUCCUUUUCUGGCCAGUUUGUGCCUUUUCUCACCAAUUUGCACCAUUGAAAUCCAUAUUUUUAGAAACCAUAAGUCAAAAACAAUGAAGUAAGAGAAUCAGAGGCUUAAUUUUUUUUUCUAUGUUUCUUCAUUUUAUCCACUGACAUCAUAAAAACUACUUAUUGUGCAGAGAUUUAGAGUGACGGUUAAACUAAAAUGUGUGCAUCUUUUAUUUCCUGCAAAAAAUAAAACUAAAAUCCUUCUUUCAUUGUAAGUAAUCAUGUGGGGACAUUUCAAGUCAAUAUCUGUUAGUUAAAUUUUUAUCCUGUCCACUUGCAGAGUCUUCCCAAAAGUGAAAUCUUAAAGGCAUUUUUGGUUAAAAACCCUGCGGCCUCUCUGAAAUUUCCAUGAGAAGAUCGAUAUCCGUGAGUUAAAUAUGCAACCCAGAGGUGAUCGCCUCAGUGCAGAGCCAGAAAACGGGAUGGAAACAGAUGGUCUGGCUCUGAAAGCACCUCUGGAGAGCUCUAACCACAUCUCACCCAACGACAAUUUAUUCAUCCAUGUUUCCCGCUCUGACAACAAGACUCCGGGAGAAUCAAUCCGCCGAUCUGUUGCUCAACAAGACAAAGUAGCGGCGCUUAACUACCCCCUGAAACCACAAACUGUCAUCUUUACGUUAUAAUUUACGGAAUAAACACGCAACAUGCUCUGAGUUAGUUAGCGAGCUUCAGGGUGUUUCCAACCACUUUCAUACAGCUUUUCUACGGUUUAAACUCGGAGAAAAGACUCCUACAAACAGCCGGAAGCAACAAAAUAAACUUCAGCUCAUGUUGACGUUUUGUCAGAUUACAAUGAGACAAUUUCUUCCCUUUUUUUACAUUUUAUGGACAUGCACGUGAACCAGAAAGGCCUAGAAACUGCCUUUGAGAUGUUUCAUGUUUGUGUUGAAAUGUGAGAAAACCCUUUCUUAAAUCACUUCUAGUACAAAAUCGCUUGUUUGUCUUUAUUUGUUUGUGCUCCUGCAAGCAGUUUAGACUUGUUUUGUGUUGAAAGUAAAGCAGAAACUACUUACAAGGUCCAACUUAUUGCAACUUUCAUUUGAAAAACAUCAAACGUGUCAGAUUAAUGCAAAUGAGGGCAUGUCAGAAAGGAGCUAUAGUAUUUAUGCUAAGCUAAUUGCCGCUUUUUCUAGUUAAUGGCCAAUGAACGUGCUUUAAACCUGCAUUCUUUCUAGCAGCCAGCAGGGGGCGACUCCUCUGGUCUUGAUUGUAUAGAAGUCUUUGAGAAAAUGAUCCAACUUCUCGCUUGAUUUGCUACUUCAGGGAACAAUGUCCUCUUAAGUUUUUUUGGUCUGAAUUGAGAGUUUCAAAUCUUCUUUAAUACAUUAUGGUUUAAAUUUUAUAAAUUAUUGCCCCAUUUAGAGGAAAAUAAAUGAUAAAGCAAGGUACGCUUUAGAGCUUGUGAAGUUUCUACCGAUAAUUCUGUCAGAUCCAGUUCUUUCUCAUCACAUCUGGUAUAAACAAAAUCAAAACGUCAUUCUGUGAUUUAAUUAGCAAUUAUGUGUAAUUAAACAACAGGGAAAAUCUCUAAAAUUGCUUUUUAAACUGACUUAUCAUUUUCAAUCCUUAAUUUAUAUAUUUUUUCUUUAAAAUAAGGACAAAUAUCUGUAAAAUGUUUUUUUUAGAAGAUUUAAAUAUAGUAAAAACUAAUCGUAGCCACUGAAGAUGCUCUAAACUUGCAUAUUUUCUAACAGCCAGCAGAGGGCGACUCUUGUGGUUGCAAAACAAGUCAGAUUCUAUGGAAGUCUAUGAGAAAAUGACCCAACUUCUAACUUGAUUUGCCACCUAAGGAAACAUUUUCCUCAUACAUUUGUCAUCUCAAUUGGUAGUUUUAAAUCUUCUUUAAUAUGCUAUGGUGUAAAUUUGAUAAAUUGUAGCCCCAUUUAGAGGAAAAUGAACGAUAAAGCAAGGUAUGCUUUAGAGCCUGUGAAGUUUCUGCUGAUAAUUCUCGGUCAGCUCUACUUUUUCCUCAUGACAUCUGAUUUCAAAAGACUAAAAUGCCAAAUUUGAGGUUUUAAAACUGUAGUCUACAAACCAGCAGGUGAAUUUAGAGUUGCUACGAACAGUUUAUGGUUUCGUUUCAUAUUUAAGUAGCCAACAUGAGAGCAAAAUUGAGUUCUUCAUUGCUUCAGCUUUGAUAUUAACGUACAUCCUACUUUGUGUCAAUAGUUCUUAGUGAAGUCUUUUCCUGUUCACAAAGCCAGAACCAUAUUUCCACACCUCAGCCUCAUUCAACACCCCUGGGAUGAAUCAGAACGCUACGAGCCAAGUCUGAUCAUCCAGCAUCCAUGUUGGGCCUCGCUAAUACUCUGGUGGCAGAAUGGGAGCAAAUCCCUGCAGCCAGGUUCCAGGAAACUCUUCUUUUUUCUUUUUUUUUUUUUUUUUUUACUAGAGUGGAUGCUCCGAUAGCAGCAGAUUAAUGCCUGUUCUUCUAGAAUGAGAUGUUCUGCAGCCACAUAUGGGAUUAAUGAUCAGGUGUCUGCACACUUUUGCAACGCAUGCUUUGAACUUUUCUGCAUUUUCCUUUACCCAAAAAGAGCUAAAUAAGUUCCAGAUUGUGUCUCUGAGCAACUACAAGGGAGGAAGAAAGAAGAAAAAAAACUUGGAGAAGAUCAUGUGGGAUUCCUGAGGAGAGAGAUCUCCUGGGAUGGAAGAAUCCAUUACCGGCCGAGUCGACAUACUCAGAGAGGACGCGAAAAUGUAAAAUGUAUGCUUUAAAAGGAACUGGAGUGGGAAUUUCAGCCAAGUGAAGCACAAAUAACGAGCAACCAGUACAGAACAUGGCAUUCCUAAAUUUAGAAUAGUUAUGACAAAAGCACCGGUGUGUGAAAUAAGUGUGAGGGCUGGAUUUAAUAAGGAGAUUAGAGUCAGGGGGAGGCGCAGACAGCAGGGAAAUAUGUAGCGUAAACACAGAGAGGACAGUGUGUGCAUGUGAAUCCCAGCCCAUGUGACUGGGUCAAGGAGUUGCUGAGAGGUAUAUGGAGGGUUAUCCCAGGACGAGGGGAGGAGGAGGACGUCUCCUGUGUGCUGCAUACCAUUGGUAGUCUCAGCAUAAACACCGCGCCGCCUCGGCCGGAACGUUGCCCCGACAAUACAUAUAAAGUCAUGCAACACGCAGCCCUGAUUUACCGACACUCUCACUGGGUGAAAACGCUUCCAGGAGAUAAACCUGUUGGUGGGAGCUAAACCGUGAAUCAUGAGGCCGUGUGCUGUGACACUCUGUGUUCUGGCCUCUGAUAAAAACACAAGGAAAGUGUUGGAGAUUAAAUACUGUCAUUCAUCACUAAAAAGAGUUUAAGUUUUCUUCUUCUCGCCCAGAUGGUUUCACAUGACUCCUGCUCACAGUUUAGCAUGUAAACUGUAUGGAAAAAAGUUUGUAUGUGGACACCUAAACAUGUAAAUAUUUUUACUUAUUUUAUUAUCCCUUAAUCCCACGAGGGGAAAUUCUGAUUUUUUUAAUGUCUCCCCAAUAGGGGGAGUCAGAGCGACGGGUCAGCUGCGGUACAGCGCCCCCUGGAGCAGGAAGGGUUAAGAGCCCAACAGUGGCGGCAUCGGGGCUUGAACCUCUGACCUUCUGAUCAGUAGUCCAGAGACUUAAUAGUUGCGCCACCACUGCCCCAAACAUACACUGUAAAACAAAUCGCAAAAAAAGUGAAAAUCCGGCAGCAAAGGGCCUGAAAAAAUAUGCUAAAAAAUGGUGGAAUACUGAAGAUUCAAUAACUGUGAAAACUUUAAAGAUAACAGCAAAUGGCUGUAAAAUAAUUAGAUUUUUAGCUGAUUGAAAUACAGAAAAAAAUUUAACAUUGUAAAAUAACAAAGCGCUAUUUGUAAAAAUAACAUGGACAUUAGGCACCACUUUGCCCUGUUUUUUUAGAUUGUUUUUUUUUUACAGUAAAUUUG